rnacentral:rRNA from 1 species
CAGCCGCCACGGUAAUACGAGGGGGGCAAGCGUUGUUCGGAAUUAUUGGGCGUAAAGGGCGCGUAGGCGGUUUGGCAAGUUUGGUGUGAAAUCUUCGGGCUCAACUCGAAGUCUGCAUCGAAAACUGCCGGGCUUGAAUGGACUAGAGGAAGGCGGAACGUGACAAGUAGCGGUGAAAUGCAUAGAUAUGUCACAGAACACCAAUUGCGAAGGCAGCUUACUAUGGUUUGAUUGACACUGAGGCACGAAAGCGUGGGGAUCAAACAGGAUUAGAUACCCCAGUAGUCCCUGUCUCUUAUAC